AUCACUUGUCGGACUUUUGGCUAAGAUCAAGUGUAGUAUCUGUUCUUAUCAGUUUAAUAUUUACAGAAUUUCCAUCUGGGAAUCAAUAAAGUCUGUCUAAGUCUAAAAUGUUGUUAUUGCAUAAAUUCCAAAGACUCUUC
rnacentral:snRNA from 1 species